GCCCACCUCGCCGCCGUAGUUCCAGUUGCUGCUGUUGCUCGAGCUCUCCCCGUAGCCCAGGUUCUCCGACACGUCCAGCACGCAGCUGUAGUCGCCGGCGUCCUUGCAAUC
rnacentral:pre_miRNA from 1 species